ensembl:lncRNA
GGUGGACUAAUUUAUGCACCCAGAGUCAAGGACACCUCCCUUUCCCGGGUGGGCCCUCUGCUUGCUCUGCAACAACUCUGAGCUGCUGGGAGCCUCUUCAUAGCACUCCCCACAGGGGCCAGACUCUCCUCACACUGCCUGAAGGAAGUGGCUAUCUGCAUAAGCCGAGCAAAGACGGAAAAGUACAAGCUGUCAUGUGAAUAUGUUUUAUUCAUGAGAACCAGCAUGAAAGCAGUGCAGUGUGAAGAAAGAACUGUUGGUCACAGAGGGCAUUUGAUUCCAGCCACACCCACGUACGCACAACAACAAUCUCAACUGUUGAUUUACAAAGAGGUAACCCAAAAACUUUUGGCUGUGCCUGACACUGACUUCAUGUAAAGGGACAAUUCUGUGCAAAGUCUCCUGGGUCGACCCACGGAGACACAGCCCUUCCAGGCCUAAGCUUCUCGAGUAUUACAAUGUGUGAGAGUUUGAGGUGAGUGAUGCUCACAAGAGGCAGGAGCGGCCGCUGGCCUCAGGCGGAGCGUGACGCUUGUCUUACUUUGGGUUAAAUUAGUCUCGGUCACACAGGAUACAAAUACAGGGCUUUAAAAUAGGGUUACCUUUGUUGGGAUGAAUAUAAAAGAUGAGAAAGUAUGCUUUUCAGUUACAUCCAAAAAAGCUUGACCAAUCCUUUUUCCUUUUUUGCAUCAUUCAUUUAAUUACCUGGCUAGGGAGUGGGGGGCCGGGUGGUGGAUUCUGUGGGUCUCUGAAGCCCAAGAUAAUUGAAUUGCACCCUCCGGGUGGUCCCAACUACAGGAGUCUGAGGCACCUGGUCCUCCCAGACAGCGUGUGGUAUGGAGCAGGUGGGCAGGGCGCUGACCUAGGCCUGUGGACCUAAAGGCAGAGCUGUGGCAGGAGAAAGGAAGCCCCAUCCUGUCCUGCCCCAGCUGAGCACUGCCCCACCAGCACCAAGAGCCCUGCUGAGUCUCAGCACCUGCUCAUGCUGCGGAGGCCCCCAGCCCCUCACCCCAGAAACAGCCCAAGGACCUUCACUUUCUCCAUCUGAGGUCCGUGUGGAGGGAAGCAGGAGCCUCGUCUUCAUGCUGAGAGCCCCGCACAGCACAACUCUUGCAGGUGUCCUCCUGGUUCUCAGGGCAGCUAAUCCUUUGAUUGCAAAAAGAGAGUUUCUGUGAAAUCUUGCAAGAAAAUUAAAACACUGCAAUUGUUCUGCAAAUGUCUUCAUGAAGAUCAUCAUUUCUUCCUUUUCUUCACAUCUUGGUCCCAAGCCUACAUGCAAGUGAAUUCCCUCAUGAAGGGAACCAAAAUCUUCUCACUAGGAUAUGCAAAUCCCAGCCUCCCUCCUCCUUGAUGGGACAGCACCCCCACCUCCGUCGAGUCGACCGGUCAGGAGACUGGCUCCAAGCCCAGCUUCCGUGGGUGUGUCCAGGUGAGGGCUAGGACUCAGGGGCACAGAGACCCUGGGGCGUCUUUGCUGCUGGCUCCACCGUUGUCUACCUCAAGCCUGGGUUAGGACACAGGGCUGCAGAAGCCCAUGUGGAGAGGCUUCCACCUCAGGAUCUACAAUGUUCUGAUCUCACCUUUAUAGAUAAUGCCAUUGGGUAGCUAUGCAUAGAAAACUAUGGGAGAAGGACGAAGCCUAUUUCACGCAGGCCUGGAGCUAAGUGUUAGCACACACCUCUCACAGAAGUCUGGGGCAGAAUCCAACUCCCUGAUCCAUAUGGGAUGGGAGCUGAGUGUGGACAAUGACCUGACACGCGGCAGGCCUUCCCUCACCAGGCCCUGAAUGUUAGAUGGCUGGGCUCUGCUGGGUUCAGCUGGCAGCUCCCUCCCUAGGACACUGUGCUCUCAAGGGCACUCCUGAAGCCUGGCACAAUGGUGACACUUCUGCAAGUCUGAUGUAAGUAACCUGAGUUCAGCUCCCCGGACCUGAGUGGUCCUUUAUAAGCCUACUGUAUGUGCUAAAUGGCUCAAAGCAGACGGCUUUCGAUUGUCCCCAGUAUUAGAACAAGGGAGAUUCAUUCUAUAGAGAGCGUAUAAGUCACCAGCCUCCCUGUCCUCCCUCACUCGCUCCCUUCUUCAUCCUCGCAUCUGCAGCCGAAAGAUGUGCAGUGCUUUUCAUUGUGCUGGUGGGUAGAUUGCUCCUUGGUCAGCAUGGGGUGGGUGUUCUGAAACGACGACAUCACAUUUCCUAAAGGAGCAGAAGGCGGGCAUGGGGUGGGCGCUUGUGAUGCCAGCCUGGGCUACACAGUGAGUUCAAGGCCAGCCUGAACUACACGGAGAAACCCUGGCUCAAAAAGAAGAAGAAGGCGAAGAAGGAAAAGGAGAGGGAGAGGGACACAGCGAGGGAGAAAGGGAAGGGGAAGGGGAAGGGGAAGAAGGAAUAGGAGCUGGAGGAGGAGGAGGAGGAGGAGGAGGAGGAGGAGGAGGAGGGGAAGGGGACCCUAGGUCACCCCACGGGUCGGCCGGAUUGUAAAAUGCUGCCCGUGUCCACUGCAGCAAGGGAACAGUGGAUAGGGAAAGUGACGGUCAGAGUCCGGUGGUGCUGGGCUGGGGUCUAGCUCAGUGGUACCGCGCCUGCCUCCCAAAUGCAAGGUCCUGAGUUUGGCCCCUGGUACUGAAAAAAGAGUCCGUGGUGUUUCUCCAAGUUUGCGAAGCUCACCAGGAAGCUGUGUCCCUGGAAAGGACCGGCAGAGGUGCCGGGCGCAGCUUUUGUCUUCGUCUCCUCCCUCCGCUCCCUCUCUGUCUUUUCCCUCACAGCCUGCAUCUCACUCCGUGGCUGCUCCCGCAUCUGAUCCUCUGGCUCAUCCUCUUGUUCCUCUCAUUUGUCAAGUCUUUGCCUUUCUGCUUCCUCAGUUUCCUUUCCAGAUUUUUUUUAAGCUCUUGCCCCGUCUGCCCGUCUCCAAGGGCUUCUGUUUGUGUCUUUCCCUCGAUCACUACUUAAGUUGUUUUAGCCUCUGUCAUAGUUCGAAUGCGUCAUCCAAACUUCAGUUGUUAGAAAUCUAGUCCUCAAAUUUGUGCACUGAUGGUAUUUGAAGGUGGAGCCUCUGGGAGGUCACUAGGGUUCGACAAGAUCACCAGGGCGGGGUCCCUGGGGUGGCACUAGGAAGAAGAAAAGGAAACACUCAAUAAUUUUCUCUUUGUUAUUUUUGGGUUUUAUCCCUUCCUUUUGUUUGCUUGCUUGUAGAGGACACUUGAGCGAGCACACUCCCUCCGUCCCGUCCCCGUCCCUGAGUGAUGCUCUCCACUGUGCUAGGGCGCAGCAAGAGGCCUCCGCAGGCCCUGAGCAGAUGCAGGACCUUCCCUCAUUCUUCCAGCCUCUAGAACCACCAGCCAGAUAAACUCCUCUUCUCUACAAAUUAAACAGCUAAAAAAGAGUCAGCGAUGUUUUUAAAAAGUCUUUCUGUUAGUUUGGCAACAGCUAAUAGCUGUCCAAUUUAGCAAUUUUUAAAUAUUUG